UACGGGGGGAGCAAGCGUUGUUCGGAUUUACUGGGCGUAAAGGGCGCGUAGGCGGCGCAACAAGUCACUUGUGAAAUCUCCGGGCUUAACCCGGAGCGGCCAAGUGAUACUGUCGUGCUAGAGUGCGGAAGGGGCAAUCGGAAUUCUCGGUGUAGCGGUGAAAUGCGUAGAUAUCGAGAGGAACACCAGAGGUGAAGACGGGUUGCUGGGCCGACACUGACGCUGAGGCGCGAAAGCCAGGGGAGCAAACGGG
rnacentral:rRNA from 1 species